AACCGGGUUGUAUCACUUAGUAGUGAGUACACUAGGGUAGUGAGUACACUAGGGUAGCUGGGUUAUCUCCAAAUGGUAACUGAGUGUUUGCUCCAGCAGGAUUGAAGGAGUCACUGGGGAUGAAGAUCACUGCAAGGGGGCUGACGACCACCCCCCCCCCCCCCCCACAGCUUUCCGGAGAAGGUAUAUAAAUCUACAGCUGAUGUGAUUAAAGUUCUGCAGUUCAGAUCCGCUGAUAAAUGGUCCCAUACCAUAUCCACAGCGUCCUCAUGGUGCAGGCGGUCAAACCUCCACCUCUUUGAAGAGACCAAGCAGCUUAAUGACUGACUGGUUCUUUAUACUCCGGACCUCGUCCCGGAGUUGAGGACAGACCUAAGGCCUGCAGCGCAGCCGACUAGAGACUCUCUGUGGAACCGGUUCAAUAAAGUUGACCUCUCCUUCAGGCGACUUAAAGGGAGACCAGAUGUGCGGCAGCUGGGUGUCAUGGUGCAGAGACCCAACGCUGUACUGAACUACACCAGUGUGUCCUACUCCCCAUAAACCCUGAGGAUCCCUGGCUACACCAGCAUCCACAUCCACACCCAACAUUAACACACAGUGCACACUCUAUAGCGCUUGUGGGUCCGCCCCUUGCGGCGGGACCUCGUGAGAUCGUAAAAUAUGACUGGGUUUCAAUGGAGAGAAAGUAAUUAUUUUCUCCCAUUUUAUGUUGCACCACAUUUUGGGGGAAGAAUGUUUGAAUCAAUCUUUGUCAUUUUUUUCUGUACUCCAUAUCUGUAAUCCCAGCUGUUGUAUUUUAACACGGUAGCUGGGAAUCCUCUUUAUAGGGAGCGACUAGAGGGACGAGGCUGGAAGCAAACCUGAGCCUGGAUCUUAACCUUCUUUCUAAACCUAAUGCCGCAAUUUAACCGCAAAUAAAGUGAGGCCUAAAGUAACUUGACUCUCUUAACUAAACUUGCUUGCCUAAACUCGCUUGUCUAAACUCGCUUGCAUAAAACCUAAACUCGCUUGCAUAAAACCUGAACUUGCUUGGCUAAACUUGCGUCGCUUGCCUAAUACCUGAACUUGCUUGCCUAAACUCGCUUGCCUAAUACCUGAACUCGCUUGCCUAAACUCGCUUGCCUAAACUCGCUUGCCUAAACUCGCUUGCCUAAUACCUGAACUCGCUUGCAUAAAACCUAAACUUGCUUAGCUUGACUCGCUUGCCUGUACUCGCUUGGCUAAACUCGCUUGCAUAAGACCUAAACUCGCUUGCAUAAAACCUAAACUCGCUUAGCUUGACUCGCUUGCCUGUACUCGCUUGGCUAAACUCGCUUGCCUAAUACCUGAAGUCGCUUGCCUGAAGUCGCAUGCCUAAUACCUGAAGUCGCUUGCCUAAAACCUAAACUUGCUUGCCUAAAACCUAAACUUGCUUGUCUAAACACGUUACACAAAGUUAACCAUCCAUAAUCUUUAACCCAAACCAGACUUGUCCCUGGGUCGCUCCACUUUAAUUUAGAAGAUUCUUCUUUUAACUCAUCUGCGUUUUGAGUUUCAUUCUUUGAGGGCUUGAAGUGCUUUGGAGGAUAUUUGAACCUUUGUUUGCCGCAUCAAUAAACAUGCUUUAUCUUUACCCAUUUUGUUUUGGAUUGAAUUUCUAUGUGUAAUCCGACCAAAUAUUCAGUGUCCUUACAUGUAAUGUCUAUGGUCUGAUGAUAAUCUGACCUCUUCAUGAAGCAGAAUGUGUGUGAAUGUUGUCCCGUGAGCUCCAGGCUCUCUGUGGGCCUGCCAACGUCUCUUUAGCAAAAGGUUGGAGAGUGAAAUUCAUUUUUGUGCCAUUUUCAUGUGUUCCUGAGUAUUUCAGACCUGUGGUGUUUCACAUGAGACCUUAAUGGGAACUUAUUUUUCUGCCUGCAUACGUAAUGCCUACAUUAGUAGGGUGAUCACUGUUGAUCCCAAUAUUGAUCAUUAACCGCCUCAUUCUUGUGAUUUUUUUUGAUAAGGAUUACAAAUCAUGUAAUUUAUGAGCAUAUUUGCAAAUGGCUCCA